AUUGAACGCUAGCGGGAUGCCUUACACAUGCAAGUCGAACGGAGUGGCGAACGGGUGAGUAAUGUAUCGGAACGUGCCCAGUAGCGGGGGAUAACUACGCGAAAGCGUUGCUAAUACCGCAUACUAUUGGAGCGGCCGAUAUCGGAUUAGCUAGUUGGGGGGGUAACGGCUCACCAAGGCGACGAUCCUUAGCUGGUUUGAGCGGAGGACCAGCAACACUGGGACUGGGACACGGCCCAGACUCCUAGGGGAGGCAGCAGUGGGGAAUGUUGGACAAGGGGGGAAACCCUGAUCCAGCCAGCCCGGGGGUGCGAUGAAGGCCUACGGGUUGUAAAGCACUUUUGGCAGGAGAGCGGUACCUGCAGAAUAAGCACCGGCUAACUACGUGCCAGCAGCCGCGGUAAUAC
rnacentral:rRNA from 1 species